UACGUAGGGUGCAAGCGUUGUCCGGAAUUAUUGGGCGUAAAGAGCUCGUAGGCGGUCUGUCGCGCGGCUGUGAAAACUCGGGGCUCAACCCCCGAGCCUGCAGUCGAUACGGGCAGACUAGAGUCCGGCAGGGGAGACUGGAAUCCUGGUGUAGCGGUGAAAUGCGCAGAUAUCAGGAAGAACACCCGUGGCGAAGGCGGCUCUCUGGGACGGUACUGACGCUAGACGCGAAAGCGUGGGGAGCAAACAGG
rnacentral:rRNA from 1 species